rnacentral:rRNA from 1 species
GCAGUAGCCACGGUAAUACGUAGGGUGCAAGCGUUAAUCGGAAUUACUGGGCGUAAAGCGUGCGCAGGCGGUUAUAUAAGACAGAUGUGAAAUCCCCGGGCUCAACCUGGGAACUGCAUUUGUGACUGUAUAGCUAGAGUACGGCAGAGGGGGAUGGAAUUCCGCGUGUAGCAGUGAAAUGCGUAGAUAUGCGGAGGAACACCGAUGGCGAAGGCAAUCCCCUGGGCCUGUACUGAUGCUCAUGCACGAAAGCGUGGGGAGCAAACAGGAUUAGAUACCCCCGUAGUCCCUGUCUCUUAUAC